GGAAUCUUCCACAAUGGGCGAAAGCCUGAUGGAGCAACGCCGCGUGUGUGAUGAAGGGUUUCGGCUCGUAAAACACUGUUGUAAGAGAAGAAUGACAUUGAGAGUAACUGUUCAAUGUGUGACGGUAUCUUACCAGAAAGGAACGGCUAAUACGUGCCAC
rnacentral:rRNA from 1 species